UACAGAGGUCCCAAGCGUUGUUCGGAUUCACUGGGCGUAAAGGGUGCGUAGGCGGUCGGGUAAGUCUGAUGUGAAAUCUCACAGCUUAACUGUGAAACUGCAUUGGAUACUAUCCGGCUCGAGGAAUGGAGGGGAGACUGGAAUACUUGGUGUAGCAGUGAAAUGCGUAGAUAUCAGGAGGAACACCGGUGGCGAAGGCGAGUCUCUGGACAUUUCCUGACGCUGAGGCACGAAAGCCAGGGGAGCAAACGGG
rnacentral:rRNA from 1 species